rnacentral:rRNA from 1 species
GAAUUCGCCCUUAGAGUUUGAUCCUGGCUCAGGACUAACGCUGGCGACGUGCUUAACACAUGCAAGUUGAACGGGGCACUGCAAGUAGCAAUACGAGCAGUGCUUAGUAGCGGACGGGUGAGUAACGCGUGAGCAACCUACCUUUGUGAGGGGGACAACAGCCGGAAACGGCUGCUAAUACCGCAUAAGGCCACGGUUCCGAUUGGGACUGAGGUAAAAGAUUUAUCGCACAAAGAUGGGCUCGCGUCCCAUUAGCUGGUUGGCGGGGUAACGGCCCACCAAGGCGACGAUGGGUAGCCGACCUGAGAGGGUGAUCGGCCACACUGGAACUGAGACACGGUCCAGACUCCUACGGGAGGCAGCAGUGGGGAAUAUUGGGCAAUGGGCGCAAGCCUGACCCAGCAACGCCGCGUGAGGGAAGAAGGUCUUCGGAUUGUAAACCUCUGUCCUUGGGGACGAAAGAAAUGACGGUACCCAAGGAGGAAGCUCCGGCUAACUACGUGCCAGCAGCCGCGGUAAUACGUAGGGAGCGAGCGUUGUCCGGAAUUACUGGGCGUAAAGGGUGCGUAGGUGGCGCUGCAAGUCAGAUGUGAAAUCCCCGGGCUUAACUCGGGGGGUGCAUUUGAAACUGCGGUGCUUGAGUGCAGGAGAGGAAAGCGGAAUUCCUAGUGUAGCGGUGAAAUGCGUAGAUAUUAGGAAGAACACCAGUGGCGAAGGCGGCUUUCUGGACUGUAACUGACGCUGAUGCACGAAAGCGUGGGGAGCAAACAGGAUUAGAUACCCUGGUAGUCCACGCUGUAAACGAUGGAUACUAGGUGUGGGGGACAUACAACCUCUGUGCCGAAGCAAACGCAUUAAGUAUCCCGCCUGGGGAGUACGGUCGCAAGACUGAAACUCAAAGGAAUUGACGGGGACCCGCACAAGCAGCGGAGCAUGUGGUUUAAUUCGAAGCAACGCGAAGAACCUUACCAAGGCUUGACAUCCCUUGACCGCCAUAGAGAUAUGGCUUCCCUUCGGGGCAAGGAGACAGGUGGUGCAUGGUUGUCGUCAGCUCGUGUCGUGAGAUGUUGGGUUAAGUCCCGCAACGAGCGCAACCCUUAUCAUUAGUUGCCAGCACGUAAAGGUGGGAACUCUAAUGAGACUGCCGGGGAUAACUCGGAGGAAGGU